CUCUUGCAGUCGAGCGGUAGAGAGAAGCUUGCUUCUCUUGAGAGCGGCGGACGGGUGAGUAAUGCCUAGGAAUCUGCCUGGUAGUGGGGGAUAACGUUCGGAAACGGACGCUAAUACCGCAUACGUCCUACGGGAGAAAGCAGGGGACCUUCGGGCCUUGCGCUAUCAGAUGAGCCUAGGUCGGAUUAGCUAGUUGGUGAGGUAAUGGCUCACCAAGGCGACGAUCCGUAACUGGUCUGAGAGGAUGAUCAGUCACACUGGAACUGAGACACGGUCCAGACUCCUACGGGAGGCAGCAGUGGGGAAUAUUGGACAAUGGGCGAAAGCCUGAUCCAGCCAUGCCGCGUGUGUGAAGAAGGUCUUCGGAUUGUAAAGCACUUUAAGUUGGGAGGAAGGGUUGUAGAUUAAUACUCUGCAAUUUUGACGUUACCGACAGAAUAAGCACCGGCUAACUCUGUGCCAGCAGCCGCGGUAAUACAGAGGGUGCAAGCGUUAAUCGGAAUUACUGGGCGUAAAGCGCGCGUAGGUGGUUUGUUAAGUUGGAUGUGAAAUCCCCGGGCUCAACCUGGGAACUGCAUUCAAAACUGACUGACUAGAGUAUGGUAGAAGGUGGUGGAAUUUCCUGUGUAGCGGUGAAAUGCGUAGAUAUAGGAAGGAACACCAGUGGCGAAAGCGACCACCUGGACUAAUACUGACACUGAAGUGCGAAAGCGUGGGGAGCAAACAGGAUUAGAUACCCUGGUAGUCCACGCCGUAAACGAUGUCAACUAGCCGUUGGAAGCCUUGAGCUUUUAGUGGCGCAGCUAACGCAUUAAGUUGACCGCCUGGGGAGUACGGCCGCAAGGUUAAAACUCAAAUGAAUUGACGGGGGCCCGCACAAGCGGUGGAGCAUGUGGUUUAAUUCGAAGCAACGCGAAGAACCUUACCAGGCCUUGACAUCCAAUGAACUUUCUAGAGAUAGAUUGGUGCCUUCGGGAACAUUGAGACAGGUGCUGCAUGGCUGUCGUCAGCUCGUGUCGUGAGAUGUUGGGUUAAGUCCCGUAACGAGCGCAACCCUUGUCCUUAGUUACCAGCACGUAAUGGUGGGCACUCUAAGGAGACUGCCGGUGACAAACCGGAGGAAGGUGGGGAUGACGUCAAGUCAUCAUGGCCCUUACGGCCUGGGCUACACACGUGCUACAAUGGUCGGUACAGAGGGUUGCCAAGCCGCGAGGUGGAGCUAAUCCCAUAAAACCGAUCGUAGUCCGGAUCGCAGUCUGCAACUCGACUGCGUGAAGUCGGAAUCGCUAGUAAUCGCGAAUCAGAAUGUCGCGGUGAAUACGUUCCCGGGCCUUGUACACACCGCCCGUCACACCAUGGGAGUGGGUUGCACCAGAAGUAGCUAGUCUAACCUUCGGGAGGACGGUUACCACGGUGUGAUUCAUGACUGGGGUGAAGUAGAA
rnacentral:rRNA from 1 species